GUCAACAUGGUUUGAGGGCAUUUGGCACAGGUUGGUGGAAAAUGUAGUUGUUAAAAAAAAAGUCGUUUUACCAGCUUAUUAGCUAUCUUUAGAAACAAGUCCUGCAGGAAAAAACAUUGUUUGUGAUAGUUACAACUAAACAAACAGGACACACAAGAAAAAGUAAAUAUAGGUGGUAAUCCUGUUUGCAGCCGUUUAUCCGGCACAGCUUGAUUUUUGAGUAACUUUCUUUCCUUUGGAGGUGUGACUACAGUUUUCAACUCCUCGCUCUGUCUCAAUGGACUUACUGUUACGCCCACUGUGGCACCACAAACGAGCUUACACAAUAUAUCUGAAAUAUAUGUGAAACAUUGUGACAUUUAGUCUAACUUUUGACUUUUCAGCUUGACAAAUCAUGGUGAACUUACCUGCCAGGAUCGCCUUUCCCGGACCGGAGCGCUCAACACAUGGACGGCUGCUGUCUGACGCGCUUUUCCUGGAUGCGUCCUGAGGCUCCAGCGGGUCCCUGUUGACAGAGGGCGGGACUGUCAAGGAAGUUGGGACCUUCUACUGCCAAUUUCUGUUAUAUGUGACCAUGGUAACGCUGUAUCACUACAGUCUACGUAAGAGAGCAAAGCAAAACCGGAAACAAGGAGGGGCGGACAAACAGUUGCGUCCGUAUCUCACAAUUUGCGCACCACAGGGCGUGUGGUGUGACCGUGUCCAUUGGGUGACACUGUGGGUGCUUAUAUGAGAGCGCAGGGUGAGAGGAGACCGGCCACAGCAGGGAAAGGGCGGGGCACAGCCUCUCUAUGUCGCUAUUAACAUAUGAAUACAGCUCAGUGAAGAAUAACAUUCCCCUAUUAUUAAACCUUUUACGACCAAAACCUCCAGCAGCAGCAUCCACACUCUCUCCAAACAAAGAGGCUCACAGAGACAGACACCAUCAAUCAGGUCUGUCCAGCAAGGGAUGGAAAUAAGGGUGCAGCAGGAAAGGCAUAAACCAUGUUCACAGCUGUGAAAACUCCCCACCAUCAACAAUAGAGGCUGAACCCUGCAGAGAGUUUGUAAAUCUUCUUGAUGUGAAUGAGUUUUUAAAAAUAAAUGCACAAACAACACUGUCUGUAAACUUUAUUCCUCUUUCUGGAUGCAUGACUUGUGCAGAUAAAGGGAGUGCUCCAUGGUGACACCACGGUGGGACAGAGCUCAGUGUAUCAUACAGGGACUGUCAGACAGCACGGGAAGUAAACAGUCGACUAAAACUGUCACCACUUUGAGCAGCUUUGCCUCAAGACUUUGCCAUUUAUUAACCUGCUGUUUUUGCAUUUUGUCUUUUUCUUACAAAAAUCAUUAUGCUUUUUUUUUGUUUGUUUUUUGUUUUUUUAAGACUACAACAACACACUAUAGACAAUACAUACGGUAUUCCAUAAUAUUUGACUUCUUUGAUUAGUUAGGUAUUUCAAUAUAUCUUAAAUUAUACACUGUUUUCAGUACAAUAAUGAUUUUUUUUUUUUUUUAAACCAACUGGGACCAGGAUGUGAGUUAAUGUUCCCCUUGUGUUUUCAUCUCCUCGAGUCUGCUGGAGCUUCAUCGUCGUUUUCUGUUAGUUGGGUGAGAAAGUUUCAUCGAACAUCACUUCAUUUGACACAACAUUAGUAAUACUUGAUAUACUUGAGUGUAACAUGAAAUUGUGCUCCUGGUUGCAGCUUUAUAGUUUGGCAGCACAUGCACAGACUACAGCAUAUAGCUUCUUUUUUUUUUUUUCUUAUUUCACCGCUUUUCUUUCUUUUGUCACAAUCAUCCUGAAACUCCUGAUGUCCGGUAUCAGAGUCAGAGAUCAAACCGCUCUGACCCAGCAACAGGUUUGCGGCUGCAAGGGAGUGGAAAUUUCAUCAAGUGUCUCUUGGUUUGGUGACGUAUCCCUCAAAGGUUUUAGAGGCUACACACGCAUGCACGCGCACACACACACACGCUCGCUCACACACACACACGGUAACCUCAUAAACAAGUGUUAUUAGUCUGUAUACAGCAAACACUUUGUACCUGUUGUGAGAGGACAAACAAAACUAUUGCACAGUAACCAUCUUUCUAAUCAGAGCAUGAGACAGUUGUGAAAUUAAACAAGAACAAAUGAGCCAGUUUUUUUGCCACCUCCUCAAAGUAUAUAAGGCCGUAGCAGAGCUUUAGGAGAGAGGGACACACACACACAUACCCCUCUGCUCCUCAAUAACAAAGUCUCUUCCUCAUCAGUGCUCAAUCUCUAGGAAAAGAGAAAACAAAAAGAGAAAAGCUGCUCUAUGGUUAAUAAAGUCUACAUUGAACAGCAACAGGACAGAGAGUGGUUUGGUGUCACUAAUGUUAUCUUCGGUAUGUUAAAUCCUCUAGGAGCUGAGAGGUGACUUCAUGCUGUGUAGAUCAGUGAUGCCAUUAUA